AUAUAUAUAUAUCAAAAUUAAGGUUUAUAACAAAGAAUAUAGUAAGCAAUCAUGAGCAUUUAAGAUAUGGAAGUUAAAAGGCCAUUGGUGUCGGGGCAAAACCUAAUCAACGGCAAGCAAGACGCCACCCAUGCAGUGGCUUCUGGCAUUUUCCAAAUCAACAUCGUCGUCUCCACCAUCCAGUUAAUCAUCAAUGCCAUUGGGACUAGUUGGCACGCCUAAGCUCUGUGGAAAGUAUUGAUCGAUGAAUUGGGUGCACCUCUACCAACACGAUCAUCCAUUGGAGCAUGGUUUUAAUUAUCGAAUUUCUUCGUGGGAAGUUAAUUUAAUUGAUACUUUUAAAGCCACAUUCAAUUGAGAAACCAUUUGAGGUAAGAAAAUUGUUGACAUUUUUUAACUACAUUUUAACAGAAAGGCUUUAGCUAGUGAUGCAACAGCAAAAUCUACUUUUAUGAGUUAAGACAAAGAACAUUACGGGUCAUGGCAUACUUGUUCUUCGCAACACCAUGCUGCAGCAUUGUUCAUAUCACUGACAAUUGUAUUAUUACAGGUCUCUAUGUCUUUUUCAGUUCUUUUCUUUCCAGUAUUUUGGAGGAUGAAGAUUCAAUUUGUUUAAGGGUUAGGAUUUAGGAAGAUGUAACCAUGCUAGUACUUUUGUGCUCUGUGACUGUGAGGUGGUUUGGUUGAUAUAAUUUGAUUGAGAUUCCUUUUUAUUGGGAAUGUCAUUCAGUAAAGAGACGUUCUUUUGUUUUUCUGGCAUUAUAAACCAAGAAUGUUUAGAAAUGAAUGCUGUGCAAAUCUUGGAGUCAUGCUUUUUAAUAUGUUAUUCAAUUGAUAUAUUAGCUAGAUUGUUGUACUAUUAAAGAUGAUAAUCUAUGUUAUAAACUUAUAAUGGCAUUGAUACAUUUUUUAGUGCAUGUGCAUUAUGUACAUCACUUAACCAUCUAUGGUUUUGUAGUUGCUGACUCACUAUUCUAGAAGAAUAGAAGGCAGACACUGACAGUGCUGUUAGUAUUGGUUGCAAUUUACUACAACUUCAUUGCUUCGGGUUCAACCGUUAUUACCACACUUUCGAAGCUUCUCUCAGUGUUACUAAUUUUCUUAUUCAUCCAUGGUAGUUACCAACUAGAAUGUUUGCAUAGCAACCCACUUUUCUCUGUCAAUAUGUCAACCUAUUUUUUCCUGAUAGUCACAAAAUCUUAAAAGGAUAAAUCUUAUAUUCCAAUUAUUAUAAUUGCCAAAAUUUUGUAAAUAGGUUUCUCUCUUAAAAGCAUCUCAAUAGUAUUUACUUAAAAAGGAAAGAUUGUCAGAAUCUUGGUCUCGAUGCUAUAAAACGAUGGAUGCUUAUGGAUCAUCUAUAUUGCUUGGUUUUAUGUAUUCUAGAUUUUAUUUAUUGGUGAGAAGCCUAAAACAAGAAAAAUUUCCUAAUGCUGAGCACAAUAGCUACUCGAUAUAAAUAUACUUUUCCGAUGGUGCAAAUUGGGAUAUACAGUAGAGAAAAUUUUUGCAUCAAAUUUUCACUUAUUAGAAGAGUAAUCACGGAAUGCUGUUAUGUUGAUAGCUUCAUCCUGUAAUGGUGUCAUUAAUGUUUUGAAAUCUCUUUGAAAGGGGAACGAUUGGAUACUGUUCCUCAAGGUAUUAUUUUUCUCUAAGAUUGCUUCUUAUUUGUGUGCUUUAAAAUAUGUUAGAGGUCAAUAGAUAUAGUACCCGAAACCUCUUAUCCUUUUGAAAAGCAGUGUAAGGUUUGACUGAGACUGGGUUCUCAAUUUUUUGUCUUGGAGAUUAGUAAGUAGAUCCAUGAUAUGUUCAAUUUGUUUAACAUGAGAUCAUAUGCCUAAACUCCUAACCCUUUCUUGUCUCUUCCAUUUUUCCACCAUUGCGCCUUAGGCCUAUUAUGUUCUAUUACUAUCAGAUAAGUGUGCUUACUUAUACAUCUAAAUGUUGUUCAUUGGGACACUCUGAUAUGACAAAUCAUGGUGGCUGUAAUCAUUUUUUAUAACUUUUGCUCUGGCAAUGAAACGGGUUGUUUUCUUUCUGAUGCUCCUUCGCUUUUUUGGAGCUAUAUCACUUCGGACAAUUUUGGUCAUAGGUUCUUUCUCUCUCUCUCUCUCUCUCUUACAUACAUACACUGGAAGAGAUGCUUAGGCACCUGUAAAGAGAUAACCCCAUAGUACUUGAUUGGCCACAAUAGGCUGACCUCAGAUAUCAACAAAAGCUUCAAUAGGUAUCUGUAUUAGAGAACAUCAGACAGCAAAUGUUUGAUAAUCUUUUCUUCCCUUGUAAAUUAUUCUUUGGUUUUAAAAUUCUUCUGAACUAAUAUUAUACUUGUAAGUGGUUGAUGAUGUUUUUAUGUUAUCAUGCAGGUUAAAAGAAUUAUGUCCUCCGUUAUGGUUCUUCUUAUUGGAUUUAUUACUAUUGAAACUUUUUACAUUGUUUGAUCAUUCAAUGUAAGUAUAAGCUUGAUUAUACCUAAAUUGUUAAUCUACUAGAUGUUAAUUCUGAUUUACAAGAGAACUCUGUGAUUAUUUUGGAUGUGUACCUUGUGUUGCAAUUAUUUGGUGAUUUGGUGCUUCACCUUGAUCUUUAAGACUAAAUCUUGUUAGGUCUUCUAAUUCUUUGUGAAAUACUGUAAAUUUUUUUACCUUCUUUAGUUUAAUUAUUACUUAUUUAUUUGCUUAAACACAUGUUUAUUUGUAGUUACCUCAAAAUUUCUAGCUUCGGAAGAAAUUAGGUUGGAGGUAAGUAAUUGCUUGAAUAGUUUAUUUAAUAUAUUUCCAUCAUAAAUAGGUGCUUAUAUAUUGAUGUUUUCCCCUUUUUCUUAAUGUUCUUCGUGUGGACUAAUUCCAUUUAAAUAGUGGUAAGAAGCACAUUGCUAUUUUCUCUUCUCCAAGUGCUAUGGCAGGUUUUUAUUGGUUUGACUUUGAAAAUUGUGCUUGCUUUUGGAUCCUUUAGUUGUAUCCAACGAUGUUUAUUUCCUUUGUGAAAACAUAUUGCAUCUGCUUUUUGUGUCUAUGCUGGGGUUGGUUUUUUAUAUGGCAUGUCUAUUGCAUAUGUUUCCAAUAUUAGAACUGAAGAGUGUGUGAGUCCCUUGCUAGACCAAGGAUAAAAUAAAAAAUUAGAUAUAUUUCCAAUUACACAUUGCUAGAAAUCAUUUGUUUAAUCUGUAAUGUAAAUUAUAAAAGCAAAAUGCUGUUGUUCUUUUAAUUUUUAAUUUUUAAUUCACAUUAGGUAAACCGGAAGAACUAUCCAGAGUUCCAACUUAAUACUUCAUCCUUACCAAGUGAUACAUUUGCAGUACAAUUUGUAUUUCUGGGUAUCAGUAUUUUUACUAUUUCAUUGGACAUAAUUUUGACUUUUUGGAGCCCACAAGAUCAAAGGAAGAAGGUUUGAAGUGAAGUGAAGCAAAUAAAAAGCUAAAGGAGAUAGUUAGAUGACUUGGAAGACUCUAGAAGAUGUGGCAACUUAGCUGGCAUUUUUCAGCAUUUUCAUUGGCUGAACCACCGCACCUUUGGCCUAUAAAUACAAAGGUUAAAAGAAUCAUGUCCUCCUUUAUGGUUCUUCUUAUUGGACAUAUGACUAUUGAAACUUUUUACAUUGUUUGAUCAUCUCAAUAGGAAUUAUCAUGAAAUGUGGAUACAAGGCCAUUUUCCUAAAUGUUGACACUCCUAGACUUAGUUGAAGGGAGGUAGACAUAAAGAAAAAGCGACAGUGUAUCCUUUUCUUCAUUUUGUAUCAUUUUGACAAGUGGAUGUAAGUGCUUUUGUAUGCUGUGUAUAUGGCACAAAUUGUUCGGAACUAGUAUAUCUUAUGCUUAUUUGGACUUACACAAUAAUUUUUCGAACAAGUGUUCUUUAUUUAUGUUUUGU